rnacentral:misc_RNA from 1 species
GAUGAAGAACGCAGCGAAAUGCGAUAAGUAAUGUGAAUUGCAGAAUUCAGUGAAUCAUCGAAUCUUUGAACGCACAUUGCGCCCGCCAGUAUUCUGGCGGGCAUGCCUGUCCGAGCGUCAUUUCAACCCUCGGGCCCCCCUCUGCGGGCGGCCCGGCGUUGGGGCUCAGGCGCCGUCUCUGCUCGGCGCCUGUCCCCUAAAUGCAGUGGCGGCCUCGCCGCUGCCUCCUCCGCGUAGUAGCACAACCCUCGCGGCUGGAAGGCGGCGCGGCCACGCCGUAAAACCCCCCAACUUUACCAAGGUUGACCUCGGAUCAGGUAGGAAUACCCGCUGAACUUAAGCAUAUCAAUAAGCGGAGGA